rnacentral:rRNA from 1 species
AGAGCGAACGCUGGCGGCAGGCCUAACACAUGCAAGUCGAGCGCCCGUAGCAAUACGGGAGCGGCAGACGGGAUAGUAACACGUGGGAACGCGCCCUUCGGUUCGGAAUAACUCAGGGAAACUUGAGCUAAUACCGGAUACGCCCUUACGGGGAAAGAUUUAUUGCCGAAGGAACGGCCCGCGUCCGAUUAGCUAGUUGGUGAGGUAAUGGCUCACCAAGGCUACGAUCGGUAGCUGGUCUGAGAGGAUGACCAGCAUCACUGGGACUGAGACACGGCCCAGACUCCUACGGGAGGCAGCAGUGGGGAAUAUGGACAAUGGGCGCAAGCCUGAUCCAGCCAUGCCGCGUGGAUGAUGAAGGCCUUAGGGUUGUAAAGUCCUUUAACGGGAAGAUAAUGACGGUACCGUAGAAUAAGCCCCGGCUAACUUCGUGCCAGCAGCCGC